rnacentral:rRNA from 1 species
UGGGGAAUAUUGGGCAAUGGGCGAAAGCCUGACCCAGCAACGCCGCGUGAAGUAUGAAGGCCUUCGGGUUGUAAACUUCUUUGAUCAGGGAAGAAACAAAUGACGGUACCUGAAAAACAAGCCACGGCUAACUACGUGCCAGCAGCCGCGGUAAUACGUAGGUGGCGAGCGUUAUCCGGAUUUACUGGGUGUAAAGGGCGUGCAGGCGGGCUGAUAAGUCAGAUGUGAAAUCCCCGAGCUUAACUCGGGAACUGCAUCUGAUACUGUUGGUCUUGAGUGCUGGAGAGGAUAGUGGAAUUCCUAGUGUAGCGGUAAAAUGCGCAGAUAUUAGGAGGAACACCAGUGGCGAAGGCGACUUUCUGGACGAAAACUGACGCUGAGGCGCGAAAGCGUGGGGAGCAAACAGG